rnacentral:rRNA from 1 species
GAUGAACGCUGGCGGCGUGCCUAAUACAUGCGAGUCGAGCGAACAGACGAGGAGCUUGCUCCUCUGACGUUAGCGGCGGACGGGUGAGUAACACGUGGAUAACCUACCUAUAAGACUGGGAUAACUUCGGGAAACCGGAGCUAAUACCGGAUAACAUGUUGAACCGCAUGGUUCAACAGUGAAAGACGGUCUUGCUGUCACUUAUAGAUGGAUCCGCGCCGCAUUAGCUAGUCGGUAAGGUAACGGCUUACCAAGGCAACGAUGCGUAGCCGACCUGAGAGGGUGAUCGGCCACACUGGAACUGAGACACGGUCCAGACUCCUACGGGAGGCAGCAGUAGGGAAUCUUCCGCAAUGGGCGUAAGCCUGACGGAGCAACGCCGCGUGAGUGAAGAAGGUCUUCGGAUCGUAAAACUCUGUUAUUAGGGAAGAACAAAUGUGUAAGUAACUAUGCACGUCUUGACGGUACCUAAUCAGAAAGCCACGGCUAACUACGUG